rnacentral:rRNA from 1 species
UGAGUUUGAUCCUGGCUCAGAUUGAACGCUGGCAGCAGGCCUAACACAUGCAAGUCGAGCGGUAACAGAAAAGAAGCUUGCUUCUUUUGCUGACGAGCGGCGGACGGGUGAGUAAUGCCUGGGAAUAUACCCUGAUGUGGGGGAUAACUAUUGGAAACGAUAGCUAAUACCGCAUAAUCUCUUCGGAGCAAAGAGGGGGACCUUCGGGCCUCUCGCAUCAGGAUUAGCCCAGGUGGGAUUAGCUAGUUGGUGGGGUAAUGGCUCACCAAGGCGACGAUCCCUAGCUGGUCUGAGAGGAUGAUCAGCCACACUGGAACUGAGACACGGUCCAGACUCCUACGGGAGGCAGCAGUGGGGAAUAUUGCACAAUGGGGGAAACCCUGAUGCAGCCAUGCCGCGUGUAUGAAGAAGGCCUUCGGGUUGUAAAGUACUUUCAGUUGUGAGGAAGGCGUUAAAGUUAAUAGCUUUAGCGUUUGACGUUAGCAACAGAAGAAGCACCGGCUAACUCCGUGCCAGCAGCCGCGGUAAUACGGAGGAUGCGAGCGUUAAUCGGAAUUACUGGGCGUAAAGCGCAUGCAGGCGGUCUGUUAAGCAAGAUGUGAAAGCCCGGGGCUCAACCUCGGAACAGCAUUUUGAACUGGCAGACUAGAGUCCUGUAGAGGG